CAGUUACCCAGCCCUUUUCGCUGUGUAGGCAUUUAACUGCAGCAGUGGACUGUGGGUGUUUGCUGCAUCAAUGAAUAAAUCUCCUUUCGCGUCUCGGUUUUAUGAAUGUGUUUGUCCAGGUUUCUCCUCAGAGCUCUCAUGCCCAGACUUCUUCUGCACCUGUUGCCCACUUAUCGCCCUCAUUGCCAUCUACAUCUCCUGUUCAGUGUUCUAGGACUUGACUUUAGCCUGCUGUUCCUGAGUUCUCUGAGGGGUUCGAGGACAAAGACGUUUAACAACAUUUUGAUCAACCACAACAAAGAGGAAAUAUUGACAACUGGACAGAGGCAUGCAGUGGCGUGGAUGGAACACUGUUUUCCAACUCAAACGGCUCAAAUCCAAGUCAAGUGACAAGUCUUUGGUGAUUUCGUGAAGUUGAGUCUAAAGCCAUUAAACUUUUGAUUUGAGUCACAUGACUCAAGUCCACACUUCUGGUUUUACCCAUCCACAGAUCACCAAGAUUUUAACAUUUAUGUCUUUAAACUUUGUUGGGAGAAGUUUUCUAUUUUCAUUGUUCGUAGACUUCCCGCAUUAAAAUGUUCUGGUUGGGAUCCGUUUAGGAAAACUAUGAAGAAAGGUCAACAUUUAAAUUGAUUUAAAACAUUUAUGUCUAUAUUUCUGACCCGUUCCGAGCUUCAUUCGUUCUUCAUUAGUCCCAUGGUGCCACCAAACCUGCUGCUAAAAGAAUUUUUAGUGGGGUUUUGACUCCGAAUAAUCUGCAACCCUCCAACCAGCAGCACACGUUAAAAUAUUUCUUCUUCCGCUGACCUCUGACCUCUGUGCUUCUGAUUACAGAUGACAGCCAUCUUCUGGAAAAAAACCAGAUCAGAGCUGAUGUGCUGCUGAUGCUCUACCUUCUUGGAAACAUUUCCUUUUUAGUGGCCUUGUUAGUUGGAAUAGGAAAAAUGACAUAGUCAUAAAAAGCUGAAUCAGUCCAUUUUUAACAAAUUAGCUCAGAUUCUUUGUUUUAUUAUGAUUUCAGAAGAAUAAUUUCAGAAUUAUGAAAAAGCUUAAUUGUAAACAUUAGCUGUGAUGCAGUUAAAUAGAUAGUAGAAAAAUUUAUUUUGUUAGUAAAACAUAAUCUAGAAUAUAUUUGAUAUGUUUAU